rnacentral:rRNA from 1 species
UACGUAGGGUGCAAGCGUUGUCCGGAAUUAUUGGGCGUAAAGAGCUCGUAGGCGGUCUGUCGCGUCGGAUGUGAAAAUCCAGGGCUUAACCCUGGGCCUGCAUUCGAUACGGGCAGACUAGAGUUCGGUAGGGGAGACUGGAAUUCCUGGUGUAGCGGUGAAGUGCGCAGAUAUCAGGAGGAACACCGGUGGCGAAGGCGGGUCUCUAGGCCGAUACUGACGCUGAGGAGCGAAAGCGUGGGGAGCGAACAGG